rnacentral:rRNA from 1 species
GUCCUUUUGAGUGUAUAUAAGGUCUGACCUGCCCAGUGAUUUAUUUUAACGGCCGCGGUAUAUUGACCGUGCAAAGGUAGCAUAAUCAUUAGUCUUUUAAAAGAGGGCUGGAAUGAAAGGUUUGACGAGGUAUUGACUGUCUCAUUUUAUUUGGAUUUAGAAUUUAACUUUUUAGUCAAAAGGCUUAAAUUUAAUUGGAAGACGAGAAGACCCUAUAGAGCUUUAUAUUAAUUAUUUUAAUUAUAAGUAUAUAAUUUUUAAUUAAAUGAGUUAUUAUUUUGUUGGGGUGACAAAAAAAUAGAACUAACUUUUUUAUUUAUUUAACAUUAAUUUAUGGUUAUUUGAUCCAUUAUUAUUGAUUAUUAGAUUAAGUUACCUUAGGGAUAACAGCGUAAUCCCCUCCCAGAGUUCAUAUUUACGAGUGGGGCUUGCGACCUCGAUGUUGGAUUAAGAUAAUAAUUAGGUGUAGCCGCUUAAUUUAUAGGUCUGUUCGACCUUUAAAUUCUU